rnacentral:rRNA from 1 species
AGUGAACGCUGGCGGUAGGCCUAACACAUGCAAGUCGAACGGCAGCACAGUAAGAGCUUGCUCUUACGGGUGGCGAGUGGCGGACGGGUGAGGAAUACAUCGGAAUCUACUUUUUCGUGGGGGAUAACGUAGGGAAACUUACGCUAAUACAGCAUACGACCUACGGGUGAAAGCAGGGGAUCUUCGGACCUUGCGCGUAUGAAUGAGCCGAUGUCGGAUUAGCUAGUUGGCGGGGUAAAGGCCCACCAAGGCGACGAUCCGUAGCUGGUCUGAGAGGAUGAUCAGCCACACUGGAACUGAGACACGGUCCAGACUCCUGCGGGAGGCAGCAGUGGGGAAUAUUGGACAAUGGUCGCAAGCCUGAUCCAGCCAUACCGCGUGGGUGAAGAAGGCCUUCGGGUUGUAAAGCCCUUUUGUUGGGAAAGAAAUCCAGCCGGCUAAUACCUAGUUGGGAUGACGGUACCCAAAGAAUAAGCACCGGCUAACUUCGUG